AGAAGGAGGAGAAAACAGAGUGUGUAUCCUUCACAUGUGUGAGCAGUAUCUUCUCUCUGGCUCUUCAGGGUCUCAGCAAGCCAUUUCCCCAUAGUAUAAUAAUUUCGGUGAAGGAUCUAAAACCUGAAAAGAGGCCAAAUGAUUCCUCAAAACCACGCAAGUACGAAGUAGCAGAGCGGAUCUCAAAUCCAGAGCACUGCGUGUUUUGAAAUAUACAAAUAGUGGGAAACGAAAUCUUUGUUCUGGAUGCAGUUAUAAUUUGGAAAGCGAGGAAAUAAAUUAUAACAAGGGGAAAAAACAGACACAGAGGGAUUGAAAUGCAUAACAAUAGAGAUGAAACACGAAGAGUGAUAAAUGAAGAUUGAGUGUGCACACCUUCUGGAGGAGCCCUGAUUGAGUAUUUUAAAAUACUACUAAAGUCAUGCCGUGUGACUUCUGAAGCUAGCUCCUAAGAAGUCCUUGCAGCUUCUGCCUGCGACUCUUAGAACACUUGCUUUGAAGGAUGCCAGAUGCUGUCUUAAAAGUCUGAGCACUCUGAAACCAUCAUGCUGUGAGGAAGCCCAAGCUAACCACAUGGGCAAAAAAGAUGCCCUCUGACUGCCACCAUUUGAGACACUCUAAUUAAGAACUGCCUCAUUGAGCCCAUGAGGCCCUGUGAAUGAUAAUAAUAAAUUGUUUUUAACCAC
rnacentral:lncRNA from 1 species